rnacentral:misc_RNA from 1 species
AAAACUUCUCAACCACUUGGAGUCUCUCUGGGUGGCUUGGAAAUGGGGGAUGUGCAGGCCAGCUAAUGGUCUGCUCCCCUGAAAUGAAUUAGUGGCAUCUGAGCAGAGACUACCACAGGUGUGAUAACUAUUGAUCAAUGCCUUGGUAUAUACUGCAGGUUGUUGCUGCUUCUAAUGACCCAUUGACAA